AGUGCCGCAGGGGUACGUACUUGACGAUUACGUCAGACGAUGGCGGUUCCAGUAGGUCAAUGUUCGAAGCAGCUGCGGGUAAACGUCUUUCGGUAUGUCGUCAAGGCCAACCUACCGGACAAGAGCGACGACGACGAGGUGUUCCUGACAGACAUAUAUUAUGUCCAUCAGAACGACACAUUCCCACCACACCCAACAUAGAGACUCUUACCGCCACAAGGGAAGUAGGUCGAGUCCCUUCACGAAAAGUGGCCAUCGCUGAGAGGAGCCAGAAUAUACGUUUGUGCGGCUUGAACAUUCUUAACAGAAGGGAGCCACACAACAUCCAGAACAGCGCCAUCGACAGAAGGAAGGCACUGUGAGGGAAGUAGAGGCCAGUAGCAGAGCCAAGACGUACAGCCGAUAGUUGUGAUCAUACUUGUCCAUGUAUAGAAAACCUGACAUGACACCAGUUAUAGAAUUCACGGAUUGACUGACUGUUUAUAUCACGAAUAUGUAUUUUAGUGUAUACAUUGUAGUAGUUGAUUUUACAUGUAUAUGAAUGGACCGUAGAUGAAAUAGCCGUUGUUUUGUGGUUUGACAAGACCUGUCUGUUUGAUACGCCAAAAUGUGACCACGAGAUAUAAUGUAUUUGUAUGACAGAUAGUCAGAGAGUAAAGAUCAGAAGAGAAAUUAAGAUCCUCAGCUAAGACCGAGGUUAGCGAGGUCAGCAUUACUAGUAUAUAGUAACGUCAAACCACCUUAACAGUCUCCCGUGCCCAGUGUACGGAAAACCUUGUCUCUGCGUCCUUCCUUUAUUAUAGCUGUGCUAGUCUUCAAAGCAGAAUCUAAACAACUUGAACCCAUUGGUUUCAUGGCUUGUUUGAAA